rfam:Candidate division TM6 bacterium GW2011_GWF2_43_17 TV79_C0006, whole genome shotgun sequence.
GUGGGAAUAGCUCAGCUGGUAGAGCGUUGCCUUGCCAUGGCAAAGGUCGCGGGUUCAAAUCCCGUUUCCCACU